UGGGGAAUUUUGGACAAUGGGGGAAACCCUGAUCCAGCCAUCCCGCGUGUGCGAUGAAGGCCUUCGGGUUGUAAAGCAUUUUUGGCAGGAAAGAAACGUCAUGGGUUAAUACCCCGUGAAACUGACGGUACCUGCAGAAUAAGCACCGGCUAACUACGUGCCAGCAGCCGCGGUAAUACGUAGGGUGCAAGCGUUAAUCGGAAUUACUGGGCGUAAAGCGUGCGCAGGCGGUUCGGAAAGAAAGAUGUGAAAUCCCAGAGCUCAACUUUGGAACUGCAUUUUUAACUGCCGGGCUAGAGUGUGUCAGAGGGAGGUGGAAUUCCGCGUGUAGCAGUGAAAUGCGUAGAUAUGCGGAGGAACACCGAUGGCGAAGGCGGCCUCCUGAGAUAAAACUGACGCUCAUGCACGAAAGCGUGGGGAGCAAACAG
rnacentral:rRNA from 1 species